rnacentral:rRNA from 1 species
GACGAACGCUGGCGGCGUGCUUAACACAUGCAAGUCGAACGAAGUGGCGAACGGGUGAGUAACGCGUAAUCAACCUGCCCUUCGGGGGGGAACAACAGUGGGAACCGACGCCUAAUACCGCAUAGUGAAGGAGGGGAUGGCGUCGGAUUGGCUGGUUGGAGGGGUAACGGCCAACCAAGGCGAUGGUCAGUAGCCGGUCUUGGAGGAUGAACGGCCACAAUGGGGCUGAGACACGGCCCAGACUCCUACGGGAGGCAGCAGUGGGGAAUCUUCCGCAAUGGACGGAAGUCUGACGGAGCAACGCCGCGGGAGUGAUGACGGCCUUCGGGUUGUAAAGCUCUGUUAAUCGGGACGCGGUACCGGAAUAGAAAGCCACGGCUAACUACGUGCCAGCAGCCGCGGUAAUUC